CAUGCGUUGAAAUGAUCCGGCGGUCAGCUGAGUGGAGCUGUUAGCAGCUGCUCUCCUGUUUCCAAAUAUUAAGAGUUUAAAAACCAAAACCAGAAACCUGUGGAAGCGAAGAACUCAGUCAGACAUGUCGGUGUCUUUCCGUCGUUCUUCUUCUUCUUCUUCUUCUUCUUCUCUGCUCCUUUAUGCUGUUUAGUCGAGCUUGUGUCAGAAGCAUGUCGUCCUCCCUCCACCGUCAUGUGAUCUGGGAGUGGGAGGGGCUAGUGGCCUACCUGCACCCGAGGCCGUGGACCCCGGGCUCCGUCAUCCUUGAAGGCGGGGACCUCAGAGGGAGUCUCUUCCACCUGGAGGGGCCCCAGUUUGUGAAGUGGCUGCUGGGAGCCAGACGUGUGGCACAGCUGCUGUGUGACAGGCUGCACGUGCACAGGUGUGCGCUGGUCUGUAGACCCCACACAGACCGACCUGUACAGAUUCACAUCCUGCCCUUACAUGGACUGGACACAGAAUGGCGCCCUCACCUGGCUGCAGAAGAAGAAUACAACGCCCAUGACCCGGGGUACUGUACCUCUAAGAGCGCCCCUAGAUGGAGCCCCUCCCAGCUGAGUGAGAUCCAGACCAGGAUUCGUGCUCAGCUCCCCAUCCCGGACGCGCCCCCUGACCUGAGUUUCCUGGGAGAGGAUCCCGCCCACCCCGGCCUCUUCUCGCGCAUUGUUCGUGGGGAGGAGCAGCAGUGGAGAGUGUGGGAGGACGAGGCUCACGUGGCCUUUCUAACGCCGUUCCCAAACUCCCCGGGCUUCACUGUGCUGGUCCCUCGCCGACCUUUGACCUCGGAUGUUUUCAGGCUGGAAGAAGACAAUUAUAAAAAGCUGGCGUUGGCCGCCCAGAAGGUGUCCCGCCUCCUGGAGGAGGGGCUGGGAGCCUGGGCUGUGGGCCUUAUUUUUGAGGGUUUUGAGAUCGACUAUGCUCAUGCUAAGCUAAUCCCUCUGUUUCUGCCUCCAUCCGCGUCUGACGUAGACCAUCAAAGUAUGAAAGCUGUGGUUUUUAACGCCACCUACCCGGGCUUUGUGACCUCACAGGAUGGACCUGAAGCGAGUGCAUGCACUCUACAGGAGAUCCACGCCAAGAUAACCCAAACCUAAUAGUAGGGCUGGGC
rnacentral:lncRNA from 1 species